rnacentral:lncRNA from 1 species
UGAAAAAUGAGAGGGUUUGGACAAAAAGAUAGGCUCAAAAAAUGGGCUUGGGCAAAAAAUGAGACCCGUUUUCUAAACGGGCCGAGCUUCAAGUAAAAUUUUUUUGGCCCGGCCUGACCCGAAUAAAAUAAUUAUUUUUAAUAAAAAUUGUCUUACUGUUACUAGUAUUUUGGUGUUGUUUUUGCUACUAAUUUUGCUAUUAUUUUUGUGGUUUUUAUGUUGUUUUUUUUUUGUUUUUGCUAUUCUUACUGUUAUUUUUGUUGUUUGGGAGUUGUUUUUUGUACAUUUUUUUAUAUUGUUUUGCUACCGUUUUUAAUGUUGUUUCACUGUUGUUUUUAAUAUUAUUUGGAUACGGUAGAACUUAUGUUUUAUUAUUAAUUUUGCUACUAUUUUAGUUGCAACUAUAUUAGUAUAAAGAAUUUUUAAUGUAUUUUCAAUUUGUUUGUUGUUUUAAUAUUUGUUUUUAAUGUUUUUAAGUGUAUUUGAUAUAUUAUAUUUUUUAAAAUUUGUUUUAUAUAAUAAAAUAAUCUAAAAAAAAAGUUAAUAUGGGCCGAGUUGGCCUCAAGUUUGGCUUCUAUAAUUCUGGUCAGGCUUGGACAAAAUUUUAGGCUUAUAUUUCUGGCUGGACCGGGCAUAGGCCUAGAAAACGAGCCUAAGAUUUUGUUGAAGCCCAGCCUAAUCCAUGAUCUGCUCUAACUUAGACAGGUCUAAGGUCCUUUGAUUUUUAGACUUGAAAUAUUAGAGGAUAAAAAAGUGGAUUCACAAACUGAUUCAG